rnacentral:rRNA from 1 species
UACGAAGGGGGCUAGCGUUGCUCGGAAUCACUGGGCGUAAAGGGUGCGUAGGCGGGUCUUUUAAGUCAGGGGUGAAAUCCUGGAGCUCAACUCCAGAACUGCCUUUGAUACUGAAGAUCUUGAGUUCGGGAGAGGUGAGUGGAACUGCGAGUGUAGAGGUGAAAUUCGUAGAUAUUCGCAAGAACACCAGUGGCGAAGGCGGCUCACUGGACUGGUAUUGACGCUGAGGUGCGAAAGCGUGGGGAGCAAACAGG